CCAGCGGUGAAGGUGGAGGUUCCUACAAUAUAGGAUCCGCUCAGUAGAUAUCUUCUAUAUAAGAUCCUUCUCCUUAUUGACCCGUCAAGGAUGGAUAGGGACAAGAUGGCGGAGAGUAUAAUAAAUCUCACCGUAGAGCUCCUAUUCUGGCUUACUAGAGAGGACUACACAGUGGUGAAGAAGACCUCUAGUGGGCACUGUCAGGACCCUGUGUCUGAA